UCUACGAGAAACGGUUGGUACCCUCCGUUAUGGGUACCACUCCCGCUCUCCCUCACCCAUCCUUCCCUUUUUCUAUGGGCCUGUAGCUCAGCCGGUUAGAGCACUUCUCUGAUAAGGAAGGGGUCACUAGUUCGAGUCUAGUCAGGCCCAACGCGAACGCGUUGCGGUUAUCUCUGUAGCGCGUUUUUUGACGCGCCGGCCAUCUGCGGCGGGCGGGUCCGGUUCUUUGACAGAAGUAGGGAAGGGGAGAGAGUAGUGGUGGAGUUCAUCUUCACGUUCGUGGGCUGGAGACAGUCUGUGAUACGUGGAGGUCGUGCGUACCUGAUGGUACGUGCGAUAAGAGCGCCAUGAGAGACUCAUAUGGUCAAGUGAAUAAGGGUCUACGGUGAAUGCCUUGGAGCCACCUGGCGAAGAAGGCCGUGGUAAGCUGCGAAAAGCUGCGGGGAGGAGCACACAUCCUGUGAUCCGCAGAUUGCCGAAUGGGGAAACCCGG
rnacentral:misc_RNA from 1 species